ACGGAUCCCCGAGGCCAGGGCCAAGACACCCAAAGCAGCCAAGCAGUCCAAAAAUGACUCUAACAAUGAGUGGAAAACUACAUUCUCGUCAAGCAAGACCUCCUUCACCAAAGGCAGGGUUUCUAUCCUGAGGACUAAGUACGCCAUCUCCUGGGGCAAAUCCUCGAUCUCCUGGAGCAGAACCACCGUAACUUUGGGCAACACCAGCAUAGCAGUGGGCACCACCUCUGUGACACGAGGGGAGACCACGAGCUCCCUGACCACCGUGACCUUCACCCAUGGGACCAAGUCUGUGUCUGUGGUCAAAGCCACCCUCGUCAGGGGCAAAGAAACGCAUAGCAACAUCUACUGGGAUUUUCACACUUGAAUCCUGCACAAAAACCCAUGGAUAUGUCUAUGUGGUCAGUUUUAGAAGUCUUGGCAUAACCAGCAGGAUCAGAUGACACAGGCGAACUCCUCACUGGCCGCAGCAUUGUGCAACACCAGCCAGUGUUGUGUUUAUCGUCCUGGACUGUCGGGGGGGAGAGACGUCCCGUCCUGCACUGGAUUGGCGCAAAGAGAAAAAAAUGUCUUGUGCUUUGAUGAAAAUUGGGAUAAUUCAGGCCAAAAACACACAGAUAUAAAGAUUUAAAAAGGUUGCUACAGCAGGGUGUGUCUAUGUCUCUCUCUCACCCAUCCCCUCUGUGAAAAAGCGUCCAGGAAAAGUGUUUUGUGGUCUGAGGAGGUGCAGAGAGGAUCGAGGCGUAAGAUGGACAGUAGAGGCUUUUGGGCUGAGAAGCACCUGAGAGUGUAAAUCAGAAGUUUGAGCACGACAGGGGGGUAAAAUGAGGAAAAGCGGGGAAGCUGAUGGUGAGAGAGCGGUGUCCAAACGCUCAUCUAAAGAACUUCUGCUGUAAUUUCACAUACUUGAUGCUAAAAAUAAGAGUCGAAAUCAGGGAAAAUGCAAAAAGAAGGCUGCACAGAAGCUGAUCUAGAAAUCAAUGUGACUGCAGAUUCAAAGAUUUGUUGAUAUUGUCUUAGAAAGAGAGGUGGAAAGUGGCACAAAAUGAUGCAACUGUCGCACUCAGAAUAAAAAAAAAACAACAAAAAAACAGAGCAACCCACUUGUCGAAGAAUGUCCACAGAACAUUUUAUUCUCUCCUCUCGAGCCACGCCCCGGAAGAAGCUCAGACCUCAGCCGAGACGCAGCACAUCGUCCUCCCUUCUUUCCCCUCCAUGUUCCUUUUGUUUCCAGGAAGCGGCUGAAGAGAUAACACUUCACAUCAGACCUGUCUCACUCAUCUUCCUCUAUCUAUUUUUCCUUAGGUUCGCCCCCGUGUCCACAGCAACACUGUUCCUCCAGUCACGGACAACAGCAUGACAGCUCUAAGGCAGACUAAAGCAUCAAAACGGCCCAUUUUAAACGUCAUAGCACAGAAUGUGGCUUGUAAACAAACACAAGACAAAUUGUUUGACUGCUAAUCCACCAGUGUUCUAUUAAAUUGAGCACAGAUACACAAAGUUGCAUGAAAAUUCGCUGCAGAAAGGCUCAGCCCUUCAACACUAAGAUAAAACCUGUUGCUAGUGGCAACAGUGCAGAGACACAGUGGAUCACAAUGACACCGAUGCCACUGUGGACAUUCUCUAUUACAAAAUUCCACUAGAUUUUCAGAUGUUAUCUGGCCUCAAAAAUAACAAAAACAUUGCCACUGAUUAUAUUCAAUCUGGAAACUGACGUAAGCAUCUGAGUUUUGGCAAAAAUCCUCCAUCACAAAGCUAAAGUACUAGAGUAGCCUCCACAGACAGUAGUCAUUGUCUUUGAUUAUUUUUCUCUCUCUGUUAAUUUCCCCAAUACAGGCCUUGUGCAGAAAUUGAAGUUCCCUAAGGUGGUGAAAAUGUUUGAUCAGGUUUUCCUUUUAUGACACACAAAUGUGUUUGCUGUACAUACAGUACGUGUCUCUAAUUAAAAUGGUCUCGCUCUGCUAAGUAGAAAAGGCACCGAAACCCUGAGCAGAGAUUAGUCUGUGCCUGGUACUGGUGACCCACAUCAUGCCAGAUCAUAACUUUUAAACAGGACUGUGAUGCCAGUUUUUUUUUUUUUUAAAGUCCUAGACAGAACUGAGGAACUUUAGACAACAACACGUGAACUUUUCAAGCCCAAAACUGAGCAGAAACAGGCCCUUUUUGAAUUGAAACUGUUAAUCUGCGUGUGUGCUGAUUGUAUGUUAAACAUGUACGAUGGAAAAACGGUCAGACUUUAUAUAUAUAUGUAUACACACACACACACGUGUUAGGGUAAAUAAAAGCUUGGCCUGGUGUACUAAUGGAGCACUAACGUCACUUAGCUACUGUAGCCAGGCAGCCCUUCAGCUGUGGAAGUAAGCAAGCCUGGAUAUUGCACCAACACGACGCCCAGCCUGCUUUACUGUGCGACCCGAGGGCCACUGCUGAUUCAGGAUCUCUCCCCAUCCAGACUGUACGAUCACACAACCACCCACGACUACUUGAAUCAACUCUGACCCACAAAACAACGCAAAAACGAAGGUCAGAAACUCCACGAGUGAACGAGGAGACAGAGCAGCGACACAGCCUAGAAGAAGUUGCCCUUGAAGUGAACCUAAUCAAUGUCAUGUCGUUCAUUAGAAAAAUGGAACGAAACUGUGUAGUAAGCAUUACUGAUGGAAAGCUGUUUGAGGUUUUAUUUCUGUCUUGUCGGGUUUGUUUGUCAUUAAAAUGCUUAAAUGAUUAAAUCUGUCUUAGCACGGUUCAGGACAAACUGAACACAACCGUGUUUUUGUGUCCCUGCUAAUCUCUCUGUGUUGUAAGUCCAUUGUGGGAACUUUUCUUUCUUUUCAGCCAUGCUCUACGUGAUGUCGUGUGUUUUUGCCUCAAUGUACGUGUCACUAAAAUGCAGACAGGACCUUGGAUGGAAAGGUACUGGAAUAAAAACGCUUGACUGUGUGUCUA